ACCCUUUCUACAUGUCCCAAGAGCAGACACACUGUACUUGCCGUGUGAGGUUAUAUAACCAUUAUAUAACAUGGUGGCACCAAUAACCACAUGGUUACGCAGGAACCAGAGACAAGCCAGGAUCUGGACUCAACCCAAGAACAAGUGCUGCAGAGACUCUGGAUUUGGCUCGGCCAGAUGUCCCCCACUCUCAUUUGCCAAGCAGCUAAGGGAAAAAAAAUGGAAAGGGUUGACAAAUAGAAGGAGUGGAGAUUCCUUGGCCUUUGGGUCCCCUGAGCCGGCGUACUCUAGAAACAACCCUCCCCAGACGGGGGUCCCCACUUCCAGUGACCAGGUAGGCAGGGUCAUUAUCUCAGGUAAGAGUUUUGCUUGUGUUCCUCCAUUAGAAUGUGAGUUCCUCAAAGGCAAGGGUCAUGUUUUUGCCUUUUUUUUUAUGUCCAGGUGCUUAGUUCCUCAGACAAGGUAAAUAAGUGCUUAAUAAAUGUUUACUGAAUAAGGAGCCCA
rnacentral:lncRNA from 1 species